AUUGCCCUAGUAACGGCGAGUGAAGCGGCAACAGCUCAAAUUUGAAAUCUGGCUCUUUCAGAGUCCGAGUUGUAAUUUGCAGAGGGCGCUUUGGCGUUGGCAGCGGUCCAAGUUCUUUGGAACAGGACGUCACAGAGGGUGAGAAUCCCGUACGUGGUCGCUAGCCUUCGCCGUGUAAAGCCCCUUCGACGAGUCGAGUUGUUUGGGAAUGCAGCUCUAAAUGGGAGGUAAAUUUCUUCUAAAGCUAAAUACUGGCCAGAGACCGAUAGCGCACAAGUAGAGUGAUCGAAAGAUGAAAAGCACUUUGGAAAGAGAGUCAAAUAGCACGUGAAAUUGUUGAAAGGGAAGCGCUUGCAGCCAGACUUGCCUGUAGUUGCUUAUCCAGACUUUUGUCUGGUGCACUCUUCUGCAGGCAGGCCAGCAUCAGUUUGGGCGGUUGGAUAAAGGUCUCUGUCACGUACCUCCUCUCGGGGAGGCCUUAUAGGGGAGACGUCAUGCAACCAGCCUGGACUGAGGUCCGCGCAUCUGCUAGGAUGCUGGCGUAAUGGCUGUAAGCGGCCCGUCUUGAAACACGGACCAAGGAGUCUAACAUCUAUGCGAGUGUUUGGGUGUCAAGCCCAGACGCGUAAUGAAAGUGAACGGAGGUGGGAACCCUUACGGGUGCACCAUCGACCGAUCCUGAUGUCUUCGGAUGGAUUUGAGUAAGAGCAUGGCUGUUGGGACCCGAAAGAUGGUGAACUAUGCUUGAAUAGGGUGAAGCCAGAGGAAACUCUGGUGGAGGCUCGCAGCGGUUCUGACGUGCAAAUCGAUCGUCAAAUUUGGGCAUAGG
rnacentral:rRNA from 1 species